GCUUGUUGGUCUAGGGGUAUGAUUCUCGCUUUGGGUGCGAGAGGUCCCGGGUUCCUGGGUAGCA